GGUGAACGCUAGCGACAGGCUUAACACAUGCAAGUCGAGGGGCAGCAUGAACUUAGCUUGCUAAGUUUGAUGGCGACCGGCGCACGGGUGAGUAACGCGUACGCAACUUACCUAUCAGAGGAGAAUAGCUCAUCGAAAGAUGAAUUAAUGCUCCAUAAAACAGGGGUCCCGCAUGGGAAUAUUUGUUAAAGAUUCAUCGCUGAUAGAUAGGCAUGCGUUCCAUUAGGCAGUUGGCGGGGUAACGGCCCACCAAACCGACGAUGGAUAGGGGUUCUGAGAGGAAGACCCCCCACACUGGGACUGAGACACGGCCCAG
rnacentral:rRNA from 1 species